AGCACCCUUUCAAAUUUUUUCUCAAAAAUUUAAGUAAUGCAUACAAAAAAUUUAUUUGAUUAAAAUGGUUAAAAUCCUAAAAGAAAUUACAUUCUUAAUACAUUCCAUCUAUUUCAACGUUUCCCCGUUUCCAAAAGUUCCAAAUGUUCAUGUUUGUCACUGCAGUUGUAGAAUGUAGUGUGUGUUAGAUUGCAUUGUGAAAAAUAGCAUAAUAGCAAUAGCAAAAUGAGAAUAUUUUAAACUGGGUGAUUCUUUUCUAUAAAAGUCUUGUUUGCACUUGCCCAUUUAAUGACAGAGAAUCGUGACGUUCAAUUUUUAUGUCACAAAAUAAUCCUAUGCAACUCGUGCUGUAGUAUAUUUCAAGAGUUCUGAAGGUUUACUCAGUGGUUCCUGUAAGAGCCAUAUGUUAUUCAUUUUAUUUGUUUUUUAUAUAGAUGUGGAAUAAAUAAAUAAUUGUGUGUUAAGAAUUGUAAAUAAUUAUAAAAGUAAAUAAUUGAACAUGUGCAUUAUAUUUCAUAUUGACAAUGAUGUCAUUUCCGGCCAGGGCCGUUAGUUUUUUUUUGUGAUGCAAUAUUGAAGCGAAACAGUUUUUUGACCGUGUAACAUUUUUCCAGUUAAUUUUGUUAUUAAACUUUACCUAAAGAAAGUUUCUGGACUACGGAAUGUUAUUCGAGUUCAAAUCACGCUUAUACAUGAGAAAGAAGUAAAAAGGAUAAAAAUUUGACGGAUUGCAAUCACAAAGAAAGUCAAAAAACUCGCAAUGAAAAGAAAAGAAAGUGUGCGGAAGGUGCGCACUUGAUUCGACGGUAAAGACAUCAUCAAGGAAAUCAACGUCGGUGUUUGAACACUGAAAUGUUUAACGAUCGUGGAAUAUGAAUAGGGGACAGUGCUUUAUUCUCCAGUGGAUUUAAAACUGCGUCACAGAGAAGAACGUCGCUACUUGUUUAAGUUCGGCUCUUUUGAUUGAGGUAACGGACUUUAAAUCAGCUAUAAAAAGGCAAUGCAUGUUUGAAGAAACUGGAAUGUAUACGAUUGAUACAGAAAGGUGCUUUGCGUACUUUUAAUCGUCUGCAAGCAGUUUGUGCAUUGAUUGAAUUAAGAUGGCUGAAGAGGGAGAGGACGUUGCACUUUCUGAACACAAGAGGGCGCCUAAACCCACUGAAAGAGCGUUGGAAGAACAGCUUCGUCGACGCAUUGGACUAAGAAGAGCGAAAUUAUCUGCUCUUACCAGUAAAAGCAAAGCCAUUGAAAGGUUGAUGAUUGAUGAAGAAAAUCUGCAGAAUGUACAAGAUUUGAUGCAACUUGACUUUGCCCAAUUGCUAAACGAAUUUACUGAAUUAAAUUUGCAAGUACAAGAUCUUUUGCCUGAAGAUGAAAAGAUUGCAGAUCAACAAAAUUGGUUUCAGCCUAAAUUGGACUCCCUGAGAGAAUUUGAAAAGAAAACAGGAAACUGGAUAGCUGCUGUUAGUGAUAAAAAAGGCCAAAAAGAUAAUGUUGAUAUGGAGGAUGAUGUUAGUCCUCACGACAGUGUCUCACAGGUAUCUGCAAACAAGAGUGAAUCUAAAAAACAUGAUUCAGAUGUUGGAAGUGGAUCAGUUUCCUCCUCAGUAUCAUCAGCUUGCGCAAGAGAAGAAUCAAAACGUGCAGCUCUGCUAGCAAGGGCAGCAUCCCUUAAGAAGAAACAACAACUUGAAAUUGAAAAAAUGCAACUUAAAGCAAAAAUGGAGGAACUUGAAAUAGAAACAGCUCUUGCAGAAAGCAAUGCUAAAUUAAAGGUCCUAAAAGAGUAUGAACGAUCAGAUGAUGGCAGAAGCAGUGUACAAUCUAAGCCAAGGAGGGGAAUCCACCAGAAGUAUUCAGAGCUGAAAACAGAACUGAGUAAUGAUUCACCAGGUCAUUCAUCUGUGGAAAAAACUCAAAUGAAGGCCAUCUCAAGCCCAGUGUUACUUGCACCACCAUUUGACGCAUCAAGAGCCACAGGCCACAGUAACAAUCGUCAAACAGAUGACAGCCUUAUUCAAAUUAUGCAGAAGCAAAAUUACUUGACUGAAUUACUUGUGAAACAGCAAAGACAAAUUCAGCUUCCAAGUAAAGACAUUCAAGUGUUUACUGGUGAUCCACUGACUUUCAAAUCUUUUAUCAGGUCCUUUGAACAUACCAUAGAACACCAGAUAGACAAUGAAAAAGACAAGUUAUAUUACCUUGAACAGUAUACCGCUGGGGAGCCACAAGAGAUUGUAAGAAGCUGUGAAUAUAUGCCAUCAAGCAGAGGUUUCAAGGAAGCAAAACGAUUGCUCCAAAGACAUUAUGGAGACGAGCUAAUCAUAGCUAGUGCUUAUAUUGAUAAAGCUUUAAAGUGGCCUCAGAUCAAGUCUGAUGAUGGUAAAGCUUUGAGUGCGUAUGCUCUGUUCCUGAUUGGUUGUCGGAAUACAAUGGAAGAUGGAGAGUUCAUGGAGGAAAUGGACAAUCCUACCAAUAUGAGAGUUAUACUGUCAAAACUACCAUUCAAGAUGAAAGAAAGGUGGCGAUCAGAAGCUUACGACAUCAAAGAGAGACAAGGAGUCAGAGCAAGAUUCACUCAUUUAGUUGACUUCAUUGAUCGUCAAGCUAAAGUGGCCAUGGACCCUCUCUUUGGUGACAUACUGGACCAUCGCAAUGUUGUAAUAGCAAAGGGAAAUCAGAAAGAAAAGUAUCCUACUAAAAAAGGAGUAAUAAAGAGCAGCUUUGCAACCAACAUUUGCAUGGAGGAAAGAAGGCCUCAAAUUGUGUCCAGGAAACAAGUCAGUUCCCCCAAGAGCCUCAACGCCUUUGAAAAACCAUGUAUGUUUUGCACAAAGGAUCAUGCUCUAGAGUCAUGCAGUGAAAUAAAAGAGCAGCCACAUAAUGUACGUGUGGAUUUCCUGAAGUCUAAAGGCUUAUGUUUUGGCUGCUUAACUCAAGGCCAUCUUAGCAAGACUUGCAAAAAGAGAAUGGAAUGUAAAGAAUGUUCUCAAAAACACCCAGACAUUCUGCACAUUAAAGAUAACCAAAAAGGUACAAAAGAUGUUGAAACACAAGAACAGAAGAUCUCAUGUGCCCAAGUCUCCCUUAAUCACCAAUCAAGUGAGAACACAGAGUCUGGAGGAGAUAACUGUGUGCUUUCAAUAGUGCCAGUAAAAGUCAAGUCGAAGAAGAGUGACAGAUAUGUAGAAACAUAUGCUUUCUUGGAUGCAGGAAGUACAGCUACAUUUUGUACUGGUGAACUGCAAAGGAAACUGAACCUGAAAGGGAAGCCAACUCAAAUUCUACUGAGCACUAUGUGUCAAAAUAAAACAGAUGAGCAGAAGAUAGUAAACAGUUUCAUUCUCACAGACUUGGAAGUGUGUGCAUUGGAAGACACAAAAUAUUAUGAGUUACCUAAAGUCUUCACACACAGCAGUAUCCCUGUUCAAAGCGAGAACAUUCCUAAACAAGAACACAUAAAAGAAUGGCCAUACUUAAACGAAGUAAGCAUACCUAAUAUUGAUGCAAAUGUAGACCUUCUGAUUGGAGCCAACAAUGCAAAGGCAAUGGAGCCAUGGUACAUCAUAAACAGUCAACAGGGUGGACCUUAUGCUGUGAAAACUGCACUGGGUUGGGUUGUGAAUGGACCCAUCAAGAAAGAAAGCAACACUGCAGAAAAGUCCAAACUGCCACAUCAUACAGUUAAUCGUCUCUCAGUGGUGGAGAUAGAGAAAUUGUUGAUUCAACAGUACAACACAGAUUUCCCAGAGCGACACUAUGAGGAGAAAGAGGAAAUGUCAGUGGAGGACAAACAGUUCAUGCAAUCAGUGCAGGAAAAGACUAAGUUUGAGAAUGGGCAUUACUGUGUAAGACUACCCCUGAGAAAUGAAGCAAUCAAAAUGCCAAAUAAUCGAUGUGUUGCCGAACUGCGUGCUGCUAACAUGAAAAGAAAGCUUCAAAAGAACUCAAGUUUGCUUGAAGAUUACUGUAGCUUCAUGAAAAGUAUAAUAGACAAAGGAUAUGCAGUUAAAGUUCCCCCCGAACAGCUUGUUCGCAAUGACAACAGAGUCUGGUACAUACCACACCACGGGGUGUACCACCCAAAGAAAAAGAAAAUAAGAGUGGUUUUUGAUUGUACUGCUUCGUUUCAAGGCAUGUCCUUGAACAGCCAAUUGCUACAAGGUCCGAACCUCACAAACACACUCAUUGGUGUCCUUACCAGAUUUAGGGAAGAACCAAUAGCCAUGAUGGCAGAUGUGGAGUCGAUGUUCUAUCAGAUGAGGGUUCCUGAGGAGGAUGCAGAUCUGCUUCGUUUUCUUUGGUGGCCAGAGGGCAAUUUGAAUGCACCUAUAGAAGAAUUUAGGAUGAUGGUGCACCUAUUCGGAGCCACUUCGUCACCUAGCUGCGCCUCUUAUGCACUGAAAAGGACUGCUGAGGACAGAAAAGAAGUAGCAUCUCCGAAGGCUGUUGAAACAGUUAUACACAAUUUUUAUGUUGAUGACUGCCUGAAAUCUGUGUCCACAGAACAAGAAGCUAUUGACUUAGCAAGUGAUGUUCGGAAGUUGUGCGCUGAAGGAGGUUUCUGCCUAACCAAGUGGGUAAGCAAUAGUAGAAAAGUACUAUUGUCUAUUCCAGAAGAUCAAAGGGCCAGUGGAAUAAAGGACCUUGACUUAGAUCAGGAUUUUCUGCCUAUUGAGAGAGCACUUGGCAUCCAGUGGUGUACAGAAAAUGACGCUUUCACAUAUAAGAUCAAGGUACAAGAGAAGCCAUUCAGUAGGAGAGGUAUUCUCUCGGUUGUUAACUCAAUUUAUGACCCCCUUGGGUUUCUGGUGCCACUCAUCUUACCAGUCAAGCUUCUUCUGAGGGAUAUGUGCAAACAAGGAUAUGGAUGGGACGAAGAGAUUGACGGUAAACGAGCUGAUCAAUGGGUCAAAUGGCUUGAAGAUUUAAAUCACCUCUCAGACUUUCGGAUCAAAAGGUGUGUAAAACCAGAAAAGUUUGGUAACACAACAGAAGCGCAACUGCAUCAUUUCUCUGAUGCAAGUGAGAGUGCGUAUGGCACAGCCACUUAUCUUGUACUUACAAAUGAACAAAAUCAGAAACAUUGUUCAUUGUUGAUGGGAAAGUCAAGAGUUAGCCCUCUCAAACAAAUCACAAUCCCUAGACUUGAGCUGACAGCAGCAACUAUAGCCGUCAAAGUAGACAAAAUACUUAGACAAGAGCUUCAAAUUCCACUACAGCAGUCGGUUUUCUGGACGGAUAGCACUACAGUGCUCAGCUACAUUGGCAAUGAUAGUGCACGCUUCAAAACAUUUGUAGCAAACAGGAUCUCACUUAUACGGGAUGCUACUACUUCAUUACAAUGGAGGUUUGUCAAGUCAGCAGAAAAUCCUGCAGAUCAAGCUACUAGAGGUCUUAAAGCAAAGGACUUUGUGCAAGAAGAAAGAUGGUUUAAAGGGCCCAACUUUUUGUGGAAACCAGAAGAAGAAUGGCCACAAAGCCGUGAUCAAAUUAAUCAAGGAGCACAACAAGACCCUGAAAUCAAAGGUGAAAUCAAAGUCAAUGUUCUUAACAUUAAAGAAGGCAAGGACAUUGUAAGCAAGCUAAUUGAUUUCUACUCAAGCUGGUUUCGUCUGAAAAAGGCAGUGGCAUGGAUGAUAAGACUAAAAGAAACACUUUUACAGUUAUGUAAAGUAAGGAGACAAUUCCAAGAGUCCAUUGCUCAAUCAGAGAAAGACCCAGAAAAACAAGCAUCUCUUCUACAGGAGCAAAUGCAAAAAUACAGAUCAACAAUGGAGAAAAGGUCAUUGAGCCUGGAAAACCUGAACCAAGCAGAAAUUCAGCUCAUUCAAUUCAGUCAAAAACAACAGUUUCAGGAUGAAAUUGAGGCUCUGAGAAAGAAUAUUCCUGUUAAGAAACGAAGUAAGUUGUUCAAGCUUGACCCUGUACUUCAGGAUGGGAUACUAAGAGUGGGAGGUAGGCUCAACAGAGCAGCCAUGCCAGAGGAAUCCAGACAUCCCGCAAUCCUCUCAAAAUGCUCCAAGAUUUCAACUCUCAUUUUAAAUGAUAUUCAUCAAAGAUGUGGACACUGUGGUCGAAACUACAUGUUAUCUAUUCUCAGACAAAAAUUCUGGAUCCCCCAAGCCAAUUCAGCAAUUCGAAAACUUAUCCAUAAAUGUGCAGUUUGUCGCAGACUCAAUGGAAGAGUUGGUGAGCAAAAAAUGGCAAGCUUGCCAGAAGACCGCUUGCUACCUAAUAAACCCCCUUUCACGAACGUGGGCGUAGAUUACUUUGGACCCUUCGACAUAAAACGGGGUCGGAGUACUGUAAAAAGGUAUGGAGUGUUGUUCACUUGCCUAACAAUCAGAGCAGUACACAUUGAGAUAGCAGAUAGUUUGAACACUGAUUCUUGCAUAAACGCUUUGAGACGUUUUAUAAGUAGAAGAGGACAGGUGUCAGUCAUGCGCUCAGACAAUGGAACAAAUUUUGUCGGCGCAGAAAGAGAAUUGCGAGAAGCACUGAGGAACCUGGACCAUAACAAAAUUGGAAACACCAUGCUACAGAGAGGGAUUAAAUGGAUCUUCAACAGUCCAGCUGCUUCUCAUCAAGGUGGGGUUUGGGAGCGUCAAAUCCGUACUGUAAGAAAGAUACUCAACGCUCUCUUAAAGGAACAGACUAUUAAUGAUGACAGUCUUCAUACCAUCAUGUGCGAGGUGGAAAGCAUUGUCAACAACAGACCAAUAACUAGUACCUCAGAAGAUCCAAAUGACCUUGAGCCUCUGACACCUAACCACUUAUUGUUGUUGAAAACUCAACCCAGCUUACCACCAGGUGUCUUUAAUAAGGAGGACCAAUAUGCGAGAAAACGUUGGAGGCAAAUCCAAUACCUUGCUGAUUUGUUCUGGAGCAGAUGGACUCAUGAGUACCUGCCCAUUCUACAAGAACGCAGUAAAUGGUCAAAAUUAAAAAGGAACUUUGAAACUGGCGAUGUGGUUCUAGUUGUGGACAGUUCUUCCCCUCGCAAUUCAUGGAUAAUGGGAAGAGUAAUUCAAACCAUACCAGACUCCAGUGGAACUGUACGCCGUGUAAAGUUAAAGACCAAAACAAAUGUACUGGAGAGACCUGUAAAUAAAUUGUGCUUAAUUCAAGAAGCAAUUUAAGCAUGAGGAAUAACAAGGAACUAUCAAGAGUAAAGAUAAUUAAAGAAACAUGUGGAAGAACUAAGUAGCUAUUUCUUAUGCAUAAAUGUCCAAGUUUAAGGGCUCUUAGUAUUAAUGUCUAUAAUAAUUGUCUGGUCUCCUGCCCAACCAAUUAGGGGCCGGAUGUGUAAGAGCCAUAUGUUAUUCAUUUUAUUUGUUUUUUAUAUAGAUGUGGAAUAAAUAAAUAAUUGUGUGUUAAGAAUUGUAAAUAAUUAUAAAAGUAAAUAAUUGAACAUGUGCAUUAUAUUUCAUAUUGACAAUGAUGUCAUUUCCGGCCAGGGCCGUUAGUUUUUUUUUGUGAUGCAAUAUUGAAGCGAAACAGUUUUUUGACCGUGUAACAUUUUUCCAGUUAAUUUUGUUAUUAAACUUUACCUAAAGAAAGUUUCUGGACUACGGAAUGUUAUUCGAGUUCAAAUCACGCUUAUACAUGAGAAAGAAGUAAAAAGGAUAAAAAUUUGACGGAUUGCAAUCACAGUUCCCAACCUUUUUCAACUCGCAGCCCACACAACCAAACACAUAUGUUUGCGCGGCCCACUUCAAAAAAAUUAACUGACCCCGCUAUUGUUGGAUUAAUAACUUACUCAGAAGCUAGAUUUUAAACUAUAUUUAUUGAAUAAACUAGGGCUGUGCGAUAUGGACAAAAAAAAAAAAAAAAAAACUAUCGCGAUUUUUUUGAUAAAUUUUGCAAUUGUGCUUUUACAGUCAUAAAUGCAUUCAGGAUUAAUUUGAUAUUUCCAAAAGAAAACCAAUCAGAGCUUUAUCAAAAAGUUGUAACAUCUCUAGAACAGACAUAAGUCAAAAUUAUCACUAUAGUGAAGAUGUAAAAAAAUGUAUAGACUUGUGGCAAGAAAAAAUAAAAAAAUAAAAAAAUCCUGUAUACAGGGACUUUUUUUCUUUUUUGCCAUGCAUUGUUCAUAGAGCUCAUUAAUUGUAGCGGUGCCUCAGGUGUUUGCAGUGUGUAUACAGUAUGUGUAUGCGGUCAGCAGUGAGAGCGCAUAAAUAUAACGCGAAAGCACAUUAAAAUAAUGCACGAGUGCGAAUCUCUCUGUUCGCAGCAGAUUUCCUUUAGUCUGUCACAAAAUCGGUCGUGCUUGCUCAGAUACACGCUGCUUUGCGAGGAGAGAGUGUGCCCACUUAAAACGUGUCUCCUCUCACUUAAACUGCAUCCUGUUCACUAACAAAUUCACUCUAUGCUCAUGUGUUAGACAUUAAUUAUUUUCGCACGUUUUUAUUUCUAGCCUUUUACCGCAGUGAGAACGCUCUGAUCCGUCAACAUUGGCUCAGAAAAAAGGCGCAUCACAGACAGUGUGUGAACCUGGAGUUAGGCAUAUGCGCAUGGUCAAAUCGUGAUUUUAGGACGUUUUCUUUUAAUCGCACAGCCCUAGAAUGGACUGGAAAUGAACAGCGGACCACAGGUUGAAAACCACUGCUGUAGGGAAUGGUGAGAAACAAACCAAAAUGGUUAUUAAGUUAAUAGUCUAUAUUUAUAAAACAAUCUGGUGUUGCAGUCCAGUGUGUGUGUUCCCAGAAGAUCAUGGCACAAACAAGGUAGUAUG
ensembl:lncRNA